rnacentral:lncRNA from 1 species
UUUAGAUCAAUGGCCAACAUUGGACCUUUCCUUAUUAAACCCAAAUGACCUCUUACCCCAUCCCAUUUCACGUCUCUGAAUCCCUUUUCCCCUUCAGAUCCUCUCAAUACCCUAUCUACCACCCUCAACUAAAACAUUAAAAUCUUCCAAAGCAAUGGCCUCCAAGGUCAUCGGAGGCCUGUAUCCACCUCUUAUGGCUUCUACAUGUCUGAUUAUCAUAGUUUCAAGACUAGAUCCUUGAAAGCAUAGUCCAGACCUUGGUUGAUUUCAGUUUAUGGCUGUUCUCCGGUCGUCUCUAACCUUUCUCCGGCCAUCCAUGGCCAUUCGAGUCAGACAUCUUGACUCUUCUUCUUAGAUCGAUGGUUUUCAAAGACUUUCUCACCAUUUGGGAUUCUUCUAAAACCCUAAACCUUCAAGGUUCUUCCGUUUUGUUUUAGGUCUGUUUUAGAUAUGUGUUUGCUCUAAACUUCUAAAUAUUUUCUCAAAGUUUCUUUUAAAAACCCUUAUCUUUUUCGACUGGUUUUUCUGUAAGUUUAUUUGACAUGUUUUGCUAUAUUUCCUUAUGACAUUCUCCUACUUGAUUUUGCAUGUUAAGGGCCUUAAUUUAUUUUGAGGUUUCUGAAUAUGUUUUUGUUAGCAUUUGUUUGAUUUACUUGUGUUUCAUCUCCAAACUCGACUGAUGUUCAAAACCCUAAUUUUGGGUUCAUUCGAGUUUUGAGACUAUUAUUUGUGUGAUUUACUUGUUCAUCAUCUUUAAAUUCGACUGGCUUAAAAAUAAAUCUAAUUCGUUUGGGGCCUAUUCGAGCUUAUGAAGCUACUUCAUCUGUUUGAAGUUGCUCGACUAGAUUCAAAAUCCUUUUAUUUAGCCUCUGUUCUUUAUGUGAUUUGGUUUCUUGAAAUCAUUGAAACUCGACUAUACUUUUUCAGAAUGGCCUUUUUACUUGACCCUUUGCAUGCUUCUGAUACCCCUCUCUUUUCUGUAUUACUAAGUUGAUGAAGUUGACCUAGGUGACUACCAUGUUUCGAUAGUUCACUGUCUACUGACUAUGUGAUUGUUAUUACAUGCCACUUCUUUUCGCCAUAGUUUGGCCUCGCAUGCCUAAUGUUUAUGCACUCUAUUUAUAUGCUGAAUUACCCUCUUAAAUGACCUUAAAUUUUGGACAGAUUUCAAACCAUACCUUGAGAAAUUCUGAUUUCACUCGUAUGUUAAGUAAUUGACUCUUUCCUUGUUUCGCCUUACCGAUUUCCCUGUUUCUUGGUCUAAUUUGAACAUUUUCCUUUGAACCAUCUAUCCCUGCCUUUUGUACUCAAUUUGAUUAAUUCCCUUACUUUGGUUACAUUGGUACUUGAUUCUUACCGACAUUUCCUUGAUUAGAAUCUGAUGAACCUAGUCUCUAUUGCAUAUUGUGUAAUCGUACUAUGCUGAAAAUAUUUACUUAUUGAUUAUAUUCAGCCUUAUAUGAUUUCGUUCCUUAUUUAGUAUUUGCAUGUUAUCGUUUAAAUUUAUCUCCUUAACUAAAGGAAGUACUUAUACUGAUUUGAUUUUAAUUAGUACAUAGUUCCAUAAUUACUGCUAAACUAUGAUUCUUGCCUUAUUUUUUACAUGUUUUUAAACCAUAAAUACCUUGCUCUUUCAUUAGCACAAACACAAAAACUUCUAGUUCUGAACUCACACUUACACUCAAACACUCUCUUGCUUUACUACUUGUACUGUGGCCUAUAUAGCUGGCUGAAAACCAAAGCUAUAUUUUGAAUUCCUGCUACCUUUCUUUACUUCAUUUUGCUUCUUUGAACUGGUAUAUUCUAACUAAUUUUCAGUAUCAACAACAACGUGUUUUCUUACUAUUUAUGCCAUUCCUGUUUGCCUCUUAUUUAUAUUUAACUCAGUUCCAUCAUUAAACAUGUUGUAUUCUGCCUUUUCUGAUCUGAAUUAAUGUUUUGUGAACCUUAAAUCCCCCAUCCCCAAUGUGUUUGAUAUGGGGCAUGGUAAUAUUGAACAUUGUUGUCCAUGACUCAAACUUGAUUCCCUGGGAUCACAAACUCUAUGUUUUCUCUAGUGUUGUGUGUUCUACUGGGCUUAUAGGCAUGCCAGUAUCUUCUAUUGUUGUCAUGCCCAAAGCUGACCCUUCCCUAAAUACAUAGGCUCUUUGCUAUUCCUAACCCCUGAAUCUCUUUUGUAUGAAGUUAUCAACUCUGAAACUGUUCCCCUACCACCCUUUACCCCUCUCCUUUAUUUCCUCAUAUCUUAGAACUUUGUUUCUGUACUUGCACUAUCUUCUAAGGCUUAAGUUCUGCCCUCCUCAUGUGAGCCUUGCCUUGGGACCCAUGAGCUCCCUAUGAACUUGGACACGUGAGGGCUAACACUUCCACUCUGCACUAUCCCUAUUUUGGUUAUAAAAAUUAGGUAUGGGCACUGCCCGGGGUCCUUUUGAGGCCCUUAGGGAGCUCCAACGCACUCUAGUUUGAGAAAGGGUUUGAAACAAAUGGCAUUUGAAGUGGUUUGGUCCAUAACUCAGAAAGGAUGUCAGGAAUCUGGCCUCCUCUAAUUGUAAUUUUCUUUUUUAUCUUUCGAUGUAAUUCAUUACUGCGUCUGUAAUAAUUUUGUAAUAAAUAUUGGGGUUGGCUAGUAAAAAGAGUUGGGUAUUUACACUUGCUUAUAGGGUAGACAUCAUGCCUAUAGGAUCUACGAUUUUAAAUUCUGCAUUCAGAAACCAUGUCUAUAAGAUCCACUUUCACUAAAAUUCUGCAUGUCCCACAUUUAGAGAAUAUGCCUAUAGGAUCUAAAUAUUGCAUAUUUGUCACUGCAUAUAGAGAACCUUCUUAUAGGAUUUGCUUAAAUUUUGCAUGUCAUUGC